rnacentral:rRNA from 1 species
GAGUGUCAUGAAACCCUAUCAUUCCAAUUCUUAUA